GUCGUGGCCGAGUGGUUAAGGCGUUGGACUCGAAAUCCAAUGGAUCUUCCCGCACAGGUUUAAUGUGUAAAAUUAGCGUAAAUG
rnacentral:tRNA from 1 species